UGGUGCCUAGGGAGGCAGCAGUAGGGAAUCUUCCACAAUGGACGAAAGUCUGAUGGAGCGACGCCGCGUAAGUGAAGAAGGGUUUCGGCUCGUAAAGCUCUGUUGGUAGGGAAGAAAGAUAGAGGGAGUAACUGGCCUUUAUUUGACGGUAAUUACUUAGAAAGUCACGGCUAACUACGUGCCAGCAGCCGCGGUAAUACGUAGGUGGCAAGAGUUGUCCGGAUUUAUUGGGCGUAAAGCGAGUGCAGGCGGUGUAA
rnacentral:rRNA from 1 species